rnacentral:rRNA from 1 species
AAACCGCCUAGAGGUAAACGGGUGGAUCCGCAAAGUCGGCCCGCGGAAUUCAGCUCGGAAGGAAGUCGCGGGCGGCGGGCAGGAGAUCCCAAAAGACUCUCCCGCCGUCCCGUCGGCAGUCGGCCGUGUGCACUUUCCGCGGGCAGAGCGCCACGACCGGUUCUCGUGGGCGGUCAGAAGGCCGCGAGGAAGGUAGGUGGGCGCCUCGGCGCGCACUGUUACAGCCUCGCGUGUCCCGAUCCGCCUGGGGACCGAGGAGCCGCCGCCGGCGUAGGCCGCUCCGCUCUCCUGGGAUGUUCGACCGGCAGAGACUGGGCAACCGUGUCUGCCGACCGCUUCCCGGGAUGGACGGGGUGGGCCCGCCGGCACAGGGUCAGUGGCGAAUCGGUCGGCCCUCCACCCGACCCGUCUUGAA